rnacentral:tRNA from 1 species
CGGGCCGACCUUCAUUACGGCUCGGACACCGCCAUUUUGUUCUCGGGCUUCGCCUUGCGCCUGCUUCUGUAUGGC